UACGGAGGAUGCGAGCGUUAUCCGGAUUUAUUGGGUUUAAAGGGUGCGUAGGCGGGCUAUUAAGUCAGUGGUGAAAUCCUGCAGCUUAACUGCAGAACUGCCGUUGAUACUGAUAGUCUUGAGUUUGGUUAAGGUAGGCGGAAUGUGUAAUGUAGCGGUGAAAUGCUUAGAUAUUACACAGAACACCAAUUGCGUAGGCAGCUUACUGAGCCGACACUGACGCUGAGGCACGAAAGCGUGGGGAUCAAACAGGAUUAGAUA
rnacentral:rRNA from 1 species